AAUUAGCUCAGUUGGUAGAGCGCACGGCUGUUAACCGUUAGGUCGUAGGUUCGAGUCCUACAUUGG
rnacentral:tRNA from 1 species